UGCGGCCUCGUAUUGUCCUCUUCUUGAUCCAUUUUAUCCUCUUCCAAAAUGCUUUCGAGAUUGCAUUUUUCUUUUGGAUUUGGGUUCAAUAUGCUUUGAUUCCUGCAUAAUGGGUUUAAGUUCGUUAUAUCAUUCCAGGCUCAGUAUAGGGUAAAUAAUCAAUGACCAUUUGGUUUACGUAGCUGUGUGAUGCUGGUUCAUUUUUAAAAUUUUCGUCUUCCGGUAAGUUUCCGGCAUUUAUUCUUCUGUUGGUUUCUUCAGGGUUUUCAUUCAGGUAGUCUGCAGUUAUAGCACCUUGCCACUUAUGCUAUUGUCACACAGAUGGGAAGCUCGUUCAAGAAGGCUAUAUUUGAUGAGCAUGUGCAAGUAGGUCACGUUGGUUAGGCACAGAA